rnacentral:misc_RNA from 1 species
CGAUGAGAAGCUGUAGCGUGUUCCUUUGUGUUUCUAGGUCGUAUAAGACGGUACCCCCUAAUCGGUGUCGGCCGCGCAUGGCACCGGUCGGGCUUGAAACGACAAUCAAGCCUGCCGAUGACUGGAAGCCUAUCGUAGUGAUUUUUUUUCGAAAAAACUCUACGAGACAGGNAUCCAGCCAUCGAUAUGCGUGGGGCGGUGGGUUUCGAUGCCUCGUAUCUUGCUAGCGUGUUUCCUAGAUGGACGUAAUUCGUUUCUCAUUCUUCUCUAGUGACCCGACAUCGUUCCCUAGCCGGUGUUUAUGAACUAUGUCGGUUGGGCUUUGCUUGGCUUGACUGAUCAUAAGCAUUCGGUUUAGCGUUUAGGAGCAAUGUGAGUCGAGAUCUUCUUGACAUACGGCGCAGAUUACGCAGGUGACCCGUGGACACGAGGUCAUGUCAAUUGAGCAUUGCUCGGUUUGACUGCUCGUUACACGGCUUGUUUGUUUACUAGCGGGGCAUGUUUAGCGAAUUCACUGAGCUCUUCGUAAAUACACUAGAAAGUUAUGAUGGUUCAUCGUUGCUYGUCGUUAGGUUUCCAGAUUUCGUAUCGCUCGGUGCAUUUUGGGGCUGUUUUGGCUUUUGGUUGCUUGCUUGGCCUUGAGCAUAAGUGGGUGGCUACUCAAGUCGAGCGGCUUCGGGGAUGUUUACCGUAAAGGUGCAUGAGUGGUGUUUGGUUUGUUACGUGUGGUUGGCUGCGGGCGCUUGCAACAACUUCCCCGCUCUCAUACCUCUUCAGUAGUGCGACAAGGCCUGUAUCGCCUUGAGCGUCAUGUGGGUUUUCUGUGCUAAAUACCUAGUCGCCGGUAUUGGUUGGAUAGAUUAAAGUUGCUUUUCGCCUUGCGUUGCUUUGCGGCGCGAGGUGAACAUGAAUGCGUUCUCUUUGGUCCACCUUGUCUAAGCAAAAGCUUCGACAUUGUGGCGCAUUGAGUAUCGCUUGGUUUCUCGUAUACGGAACACAAAGCGGGCAUGGAUCUAACGAUUCUUUUUUGCCCUU